GUGCCAGCAGUCGCGGCGGCUGACACAGAGGGUGCGAGCGUUAAUCGGAAUUACUGGGCGUAAAGGGUGCGUAGGUGGUUUAGUAAGUUAUCUGUGAAAUUCCUGGGCUUAACCUGGGUUGGUCAGAUAAGACUGCUGAACUGGAGUAUGGGAGAGGGUAGUGGAAUUUCCGGUGUAGCGGUGAAAUGCGUAGAGAUCGGAAGGAACACCAGUGGCGAAGGCGGCUACCUGGCCUAAUACUGACACUGAGGCACGAAAGCGUGGGGAGCGAACAGGAUUAGAUACCCUGGUAGUCCACGCUGUAAACGAUGUCAACUAGCUGUUGGCCAUAUAGAGAUGGUUAGUGGCGUAGCAAACGCGCUAAGUUGACCGCCUGGGGAGUACGGUCGCAAGAUUAAAACUCAAAUGAAUUGACGG
rnacentral:rRNA from 1 species